GUGAACGCUGGCGGUAGGCCUAACACAUGCAAGUCGAACGGCAGCACAGUAAGAGCUUGCUCUUACGGGUGGCGAGUGGCGGACGGGUGAGGAAUACAUCGGAAUCUACUUUUUCGUGGGGGAUAACGUAGGGAAACUUACGCUAAUACCGCAUACGACCUACGGGUGAAAGCAGGGGAUCUUCGGACCUUGCGCGAUUGAAUGAGCCGAUGUCGGAUUAGCUAGUUGGCGGGGUAAAGGCCCACCAAGGCGACGAUCCGUAGCUGGUCUGAGAGGAUGAUCAGCCACACUGGAACUGAGACACGGUCCAGACUCCUACGGGAGGCAGCAGUGGGGAAUAUUGGACAAUGGGCGCAAGCCUGAUCCAGCCAUACCGCGUGGGUGAAGAAGGCCUUCGGGUUGUAAAGCCCUUUUGUUGGGAAAGAAAAGCAGCAGGUUAAUACCCCGCUGUUCUGACGGUACCCGAAGAAUAAGCACCGGCUAACUUCGUG
rnacentral:rRNA from 1 species